rnacentral:tRNA from 1 species
GUGGGGAUAGGUGAGUUGGUAGAGGAGAG